rnacentral:rRNA from 1 species
AUUAGAGUUUGAUCCUGGCUCAGAUUGAACGCUGGCGGCAUGCCUUACACAUGCAAGUCGAACGGUAACAGGUCUUCGGAUGCUGACGAGUGGCGAACGGGUGAGUAAUACAUCGGAACGUGCCCGAUCGUGGGGGAUAACGGAGCGAAAGCUUUGCUAAUACCGCAUACGAUCUACGGAUGAAAGCAGGGGACCGCAAGGCCUUGCGCGGACGGAGCGGCCGAUGGCAGAUUAGGUAGUUGGUGGGAUAAAAGCUUACCAAGCCGACGAUCUGUAGCUGGUCUGAGAGGACGACCAGCCACACUGGGACUGAGACACGGCUCAGACUCCUACGGGAGGCAGCAGUGGGGAAUUUUGGACAAUGGGCGCAAGCCUGAUCCAGCCAUGCCGCGUGCAGGAUGAAGGCCUUCGGGUUGUAAACUGCUUUUGUACGGAACGAAAAGACUCCUUCUAAUAAAGGGGGUCCAUGACGGUACCGUAAGAAUAAGCACCGGCUAACUACGUGCCAGCAGCCGCGGUAAUACGUAGGGUGCGAGCGUUAAUCGGAAUUACUGGGCGUAAAGCGUGCGCAGGCGGUUAUAUAAGACAGAUGUGAAAUCCCCGGGCUCAACCUGGGAACUGCAUUUGUGACUGUAUAGCUAGAGUACGGCAGAGGGGGAUGGAAUUCCGCGUGUAGCAGUGAAAUGCGUAGAUAUGCGGAGGAACACCGAUGGCGAAGGCAAUCCCCUGAGCCUGUACUGACGCUCAUGCAC